rnacentral:antisense_RNA from 1 species
UCUCCGCGCGCUUCUUUACCGUGUCUCGCUCCAUCAGGGAAGCGACUGCAGAACCAAGCAAAGGCGGUCAUCCGAGGGGCCGGCGAGGCCAGGAACGCGUCGCCGCGUGUCCGUGACCAGGGCACCGCGCCACGGAUGCCAGAUCCCAGGCUGGAGAGAGCGGGUUCCCCUAGAUCCGCGGGCAGAGGCGCAGAGCCGAAGCCCGGAGGAGAGGAGUUUGAGAGCCGCCAUCUUCGGGCGGUGAGGCAGGAGGAGGAUCUCCCGCCAAGCUUGUUGCUUUUCCAAGUUAGUGCCUGGCGUGUGUGUGGGCUGCAUAGGGGCACCCCUCGAGGCCCCCUUCUCUUCUCCCGCCUGGACUGCGUUCACGUUUCUAACAUUUCUCAGCCCCUUCUCCCCACAUCUGGCCUUGGCUUACAUAGAGUAAGUUUGCUGUGAGCACUUGCCUCGAACUGUCGGUCAAGAGGUGUGAGCAACAAGGCUUGCAGAGGAACAAGAUUAAGACUGGACCUCUGUGACCUGAGUUUAGCACACCUUUUCUUCCCCAUCAUCCAAGUUUGCGAAUUUCGGGCUCUUUCUCGCACUGGAGUCCCAGCAACCCCAGAGAUUACUAAAGAUGCAACCAUAAAAGCAGUAUAUUGCUUUAACCUUAGGCAAGUUAGAUAACUUCCCUAAGCCUCAGUGUCCUCAUCUGCAAAUUAGGAUUGCUUAUAAUACAACGUCAUAACGUUUCUAUGAGUUAAUUCAUGCAAAGUUUAUGGCCUUAUUAUGAGGAGUCAAUAAAUGUUAGGCAUUAUUAUAAGUUUAUUCCAUUGUAGCAGUUCAUUGACAUGGCACGUACAUAUUCGCCAAGCCUUGUCUUUUGACCAACUCCUUGAGGACAUGAGCCACGACUGAUUUCUCCAGAACUGUCUUUGCACUUAGCAGAGUGGAAAGACCAAGUGGAAGCUCAAUAGCAUUUUAUUUGAUUAAGGCCUGACCAAGUUCUGAGAAUGUGAUGUUAGUUUUGAACCAAAGCAAAGCACACAAAAAUUAAAUGAGAUCUUAGCUUCCUUAGCAAAUACAGUAAGGUAAUGAACAGUGAAGAUGCAGUUCAAAGUUUGUCCAUAAAACCAUUUGCCCUUUCAUGGUAUUCUUUUAACUCUGAACUUUUUUUUUCCUGUAAAUAUUAUAAUUUUAGUCAAAAUCAGUUAAGGAGUAAGAUACCAAGUUAGACUAUUCAAUUACACUGGAGAAAUUAACUUAUUGCUAGUUGGUAUUUCAACACAUUUUAAGAAGUUGGAUUGGGGGGAAAUUCAAGUACUGUAACUAAAGUCCCAUAACUAGUGAUAAUUUAGCACAUAGCAGCUGUUGUACCUUUAACUUACACAAUGUGAAAAAAACUAGCAUUCCAAUUGAGUCUGCUUUUCCACUUUUGCCCAUUCCAAUUGGGUCUGCUUUUCCACUUUUGCCCUUCCACAGGGCACAUGAAAUGGAAAAACUGCAUUGGCAACUUUGCCGGUGGUCAUAUGACUGACUCUUGGCUGGUCUCACUUUGUUGCUCUUGGCUGAGGAAGACACAUUUUAAAUGUUGCAUGCUAUGUGACUAAGUCUCCUGAGAAAAUCACCCUAAUUACUGUAUGGUCAAAACACACUGUACUGUAUUUUUGAUGACUGUGACUUCAUUUUAUACUUUUUAAAUAAUGUGCAAGUCUCUUCAACUUGAAUAAAUUAGAUUACAAAUUACAAAAAAA